AGUGAACGCUGGCGGUAGGCCUAACACAUGCAAGUCGAACGGCAGCACAGGAGAGCUUGCUCUCUGGGUGGCGAGUGGCGGACGGGUGAGGAAUACAUCGGAAUCUACUCUGUCGUGGGGGAUAACGUAGGGAAACUUACGCUAAUACCGCAUACGACCUACGGGUGAAAGCAGGGGACCUUCGGGCCUUGCGCGAUUGAAUGAGCCGAUGUCGGAUUAGCUAGUUGGCGGGGUAAAGGCCCACCAAGGCGACGAUCCGUAGCUGGUCUGAGAGGAUGAUCAGCCACACUGGAACUGAGACACGGUCCAGACUCCUAGGGGAGGCAGCAGUGGGGAGUAUUGGACAAUGGGCGCAAGCCUGAUCCAGCCAUACCGCGUGGGUGAAGAAGGCCUUCGGGUUGUAAAGCCCUUUUGUUGGGAAAGAAAUCCAGCUGGCUAAUACCCGGUUGGGAUAACGGUACCCAAAGAAUAAGCACCGGCUAACUUCGUGCCAGCCGCCGCCGUAA
rnacentral:rRNA from 1 species